UGAAGAAUAUCAGCAACUGUUCCCGCUCUGGAAUUGUAACCGUUAACACUUUAGACACGGUUAGGGAUGUUAUUCGUAUGGCAUUACCAGUACUGGGAUUAACUGGCUCAGAAAAAGAUUACCAACUGUGGGUGCAUGCUGGAAAGAACGUGCCUCCCUUCCCACUCCUGGGUCACGAGCACCCGUAUGUAAUUCAAGAACACUACCAUGAGGUUUUACCCAAUCAAUGUACACCGGAGAAGUCCACCUCUCCGUCCAGCCUUCGGCAGGCCAUCCCGAAGAUCUUAAAGUCUGGACAAUUGCAAUUUGUCUUGAAAUGCCGUGAGAAACCAAGAUCCCGCCUUAGGGGUGGAUUCCUCAGAAGCUGCAUGUCUUGCUGGCG